AGGCGUACGUGCAGCAAAAAGGGAAGUAGCGGUGCUUGUCAACAACCGGAACCCAGAAAACCGCAACUUUCUGGUAGCCGGGUAGCCAGGAGACUCAACGCCCGUUGGGGGCGGGGGUGGGGGUGUAUGUGUGAGAAGGGACCCCCCAGGGUCACGCCCACUUGCCUUCUUUGACCCGGAAGUGAUUUCUUUGUAGCGUAAAAUACCUUGUUUCCAGAUGUGCCCCCGGAUAAGAGCUCUUGAUUAGUUUCCUAAGAGCCACGAUCAGAUCUUCUAGCUUUUGGGUCCCGGACCGGGUAGGUCGCAGAACGCCACGGUGUGUCCUGGGCGCAGGUGCGGUGGGAGAGCCGCCAAGAACUACCACUUUGCAUCUCCAAAGCCUCACCCAACCUUGGACUGGAAGGGAAACCCGGGCUCAGACCGUUGGACUCACCUGUUCAAAGCUUCGGCGAGCAAGGAGCGGAGCCUGGACCUGAGCUGGGUUCUUGUCAUCGCAACUGGUCCCUGGCGAGUUAUUGUUUACACCCCAAGGGCAGGAACAACCUCUUAUCACUUCUGUCUAGCCAGCGCCCAGCGCAGAGCAUGCUGCUGGCACCAAUAAAUGUUGACGAAGUCUGGAAAAGGAGGGCGUGAGGUCAUUGAUCCGAAUGCCGCAGUCUGCGCCCGCGCCGCCAGGGGGCAGAAGGACCCGGGCAGGGCCAUGUGGAUCAGCAGCCCAGGAACCGGGCGUUCAGGGCACAUUCCGCCUUACCGUCGGCGCCGGCGCCUCCUGCUGCUUUCUGCUCCGCUCGCCACGCCCCGCCUCACCCAGACCUAGAGGACCCAGAAUAAAAUAGCCUGCACUGCCCAGCAAGAAGGGACUUUAUUGGGGGAUGGGGAAGCCGAGACGGUGACCCCGGUCAAGACCGGACGGAGAGGCUCGCUCGGUUUCCAGUUGGGUGCAGAAGGGCUGGACCGUUUCAUUGGUUAGGUGGUUGUAGUGGUAUUUGCCAAUGGAAAAUAACAGUUUUGUAGCAGAAA